GAUUUAUAAAAAAAAAAAAAAAAAUUCCAACUUCCAAUGAAGUUGUUCCACAAUGUCAUGUGGCAUAAUCUACAACAAUGAUCCUAGCUGCAGGAUAUGCAGAGGCAGAACUAGAACUUUAUCUUUGAGGGGGCUGAAGAUGAAUGUUAAAAAGAAAAUAAAUAAAAUUUUCAUAAAAAUAUAGGGAUCAAAAUAAAAAUAUAAAAACA
rnacentral:misc_RNA from 1 species